rnacentral:ncRNA from 1 species
AUAUAAACAGUGAAGAGGACAAAAAUACGUUGUUUUGAACUAGAGAGUGAAGUGGUUGGUGAAAACUUCUCGUAGAAUAUGCGUAUUUACCACCUCAGAGUUGGAUUUUAGAAAAAAUCCCGUAUUCUGGCGUUAACAGUUUAAGUGCACAAUUUAAAUUGUGAAUUAAAGGUGGUACCGCGUAAAUUCGUCCUUUUG